UGACCGUGUGCCUGUUGAAGAAUGAGCCGGCGACUUAUAGGCACUGGCGGGUUAAACCGGAAAUGGUGGAGCCAUAGCGAAAGCGAGUCUGAAUAGGGCGUUUGUCAGUGUUUAUAGACCCGAACCCGGGUGAUCUAACCAUGGCCAGGAUGAAGCUUGGGUGAUACCAAGUGGAGGUCCGAACCGACUGACGUUGAAAAGUCAGCGGAUGAGCUGUGGUUAGGGGUGAAAUGCCAAUCGAACCCGGAGCUAGCUGGUUCUCCCCGAAAUACGUUGAGGCGUAGCGUCUCGUGCUCCAGCAGGGGGGUAAAGCCACCAUUUCGGUGCGGGCUGCGAGAGCGGUACCAAAUCGAGAUGAACUCUGAAUACCCUGUGUGUAGCGAGGCAGUCAGACUGUGGGGGAUAAGCUCCAUGGUCGAGAGGGAAACAGCCCAGACCGCCAGCUAAGGUCCCCAAAUCAACACUAAGUGAUAAAGGAGGUGGGAUUGCCCAGACAACCAGGAGGUUUGCCUAGAAGCAGCCAUCCUCAAAGGAGUGCGUAAUAGCUCACUGGUCGAGCGAUCCUGCGCCGAAAAUGAAUGGGGCUAAGUGUUGUACCGAAGCUGCGGAUUUAUGGUAGGGGAGCGUUCUAUGUGGGGCGAAGCGUUAGCGUGAGCGGGCGUGGACUGCAUAGAAGUGAGAAUGUCGGCUUGAGUAGCGAAAACAUGGGUGAGAAUCCCAUGCACCGAAACCCUAAGGGUUCCUCCGGCAGGCUCGUCCGCGGAGGGUUAGUCUGGACCUAAGGCGAGGCCGAAAGGCGUAGUCGAUGGAUAACAGGUCAACAUUCCUGUACCGGUUAUGUUUUGGGAAGAGGGACGGAGAAGGCUAGCCAAGCCAGAUGUUGGUUACUGGUUCAAGCGUUCGAGGCGUUGAGGAUCGGCGAAAACGAUCCGAGCUGAGGCGUGAGUACGAGCUGCUACGGCAGCGAAGUUGGUGAUGUCAUGCUUCCAAGAAAAGCUCUAUACCCGUUAAGGCAUAACUGCCAGUACCCGAAACCGACACAGGUGGGGUGGUAGAGAAUACCGAGGUGCGCGAGGUAACUCUCUCUAAGGAACUCGGCAAAAUGGCCCCGUAACUUCGGGAGAAGGGGUGCCACAGCAAUGUGGUCGCAGUGAAGAGGCCCUGGCGACUGUUUACCAAAAACACAGGUCUCCGCUAAGUCGCAAGACGAUGUAUGGGGGCUGACGCCUGCCCAGUGCCGGAAGGUUAAGGAAGCCGGUCAGCGUAAGCGAAGCUGGCGACUGAAGCCCCGGUGAACGGCGGCCGUAACUAUAACGGUCCUAAGGUAGCGAAAUUCCUUGUCGGGUAAG
rnacentral:rRNA from 1 species